CAGAACAGAUUCCCUUGGAACCCUGUGAAGCUUCUAUCUAGAUUAUUUUCUUUCAUUUUUGAGGAGUUUAGUGACGAUGAGAUCUACAAAGCAGCAGCUGAGUUGUGCUCAAAUAUUGUAAGUUAUAGGGCUAUAGCCAAGGAACCUUGGCUAAAAGACAGAUACAUGGCAGUACACUACCAAGAUGUAAGUAAGCAACAACAAAAAUGAAAGUUUCAGACUAGAAUUGAAUUUAACUAUUUAAGGUUUAAUGUUUGUGGUUCAAAUUCCAAUUCUAAGAAGUCGAUUAUUCAUUCUACGUUUAGUUUGGCUCCUUCACGAUAUCUUACAGAUAGUCGAUAAACCCUACGAAAAGCUAGAAGAGUUGUAUAAAUUUGUGAACAAGCCAGUGACAGAAAAAGUUAUUAAGUUUGUAGCAACUUCGAUGAACGGCAAAAAAACUUCUUCCGAUUUCGACGUAAUCAAAGAUUCAGUAGCCGUAUCAGAGAAAUGGCGAGAUAUGGAUGUUGAAAAAAUUCGUAUCAUCGAAAAUGCCUGCAGUGCAUUCUUUCAAACGUUUGACUAUCAAUUAUUUGACGGGAAAAUUUGAACUACAGAGGGGUUUUUAUGAUCUGUCAGUUUUUUGAU